rnacentral:lncRNA from 1 species
UCUGGUCAAGAUCCGCUGGAAGGUGAAGUUGUUUCCUGAGCCCUUUGAUCUGAAAUGACCUUGCGACCUGGAACCAGCAGACAGCCUGAGGGAGGCAGUGCAUGUUCUGAGCCAGGGCCUCAGGAGGCCUGCAGCUGCCAUUCUGCUUCUGUUGGAACAUGACCUCCUUGAGAACACUCCCAGGCCUGACUGCAGGGUGGGGAGACCACACAGAGCAGAGCCGAGCCACCGGGAUGAGGCCCCUAGAUCACCCAGCUCCCAGCUGACCACAGAUCAUGAGUGAUCCCGUUUCUCCCUAGGUCAAGGGUGAUGUUUUGCUCAGAGAAAACUGAAGUUUGGAUUGUUCCAGUCCUGCAUCACAUCCUGUUUCAGGCUGCCCUAAAACAAAACCAGAAACAACCAUCACCACAAAACACCAUACCUUCAAUAGUCUUCUCAGUGUUCAGAAUAAAGGCUCUGGUUUUCCCUUGGGCUCAAUUUUCAUGAUUGUGUCUCCUUUGUCAAUAUGUUUUUCAUCUUCCUCACUUUCAAACUGCACUU